AGAUGCUCCCAGGCUCUCCCGCAGUUUAAAGACUUAACUCAGCGGCUUUCAGGGCCUGUGGUUGAGGGACUCCGAAAGAACUGUUGCUGGUGGACCGGUUCAGGGUCUUGACUUCGCCACACAAAAGAACUUGAGAGCACGUCCAAAGUAAAGCUAAGACCUCUAGUACAGUGUUCAAUGGAACUGGUGAGAAAAGACGUCCUUGCUGUGUUCCUGAUAUGAAGAGGAAAGCAGUCCUUCUCCAUUAAGUAAAAUGCUGACAACAUGAGCCUCCCGUGGUCGGAACGGGCUUGUGAAGGCGGUGCUGGGGUGCACCAGGGCAGCAGCUACAGAAUGCACCAGCUGGAGUCGACAUUAAAGGGCCCCAUUUCCCAUUUGCUGCAGAAGAUGUUUAAUUGGAAGUCUCUCCCUGUCCUUUUACCCUCUGGUGCUGGGCACCAAUGAGAAGCUCAUCUGGCCCCGGGAUCCUGGCAGGACACUGGGAGCACUAUUUCCAUGGGCAGCAGGGUUGUUCCUGGAGACAUCACUGACCCAGGACACCUAGCACAAUGGCACUCGAUGUGAAAGUGGCUUCGUACAAAUCUGCCACUCAAGCCUAAAUAAGUGCAUUCCAGAAGAGCCGCAGCCCCUCUAACAGCUCCUGAGGUGAGGGAAACCCUAGGGAUGGGAAGUUGGAGCAGAAAGAGAUGGUGGCCUGAAGUCAACUGCAGUGAAAAUCUCUCCCCAUCAGCAAGUUUUGCAAAGCUAUGGCCACAGGGACACAUGACUGGGGCCCCUCCUAGUCUUGGAAGGAGCCCCCAUGGAAAUGAGGGCCUCACAGUGAAUCCACCUCUGAUCCUACUUCACCUGCAGUCAAAUGAGAAGAGAUUUCAAUCAGCUAAAGACACCCUAUCCCCUCUCCCCGACCCCUGCGACCCCAGGAGCUCCUGCCUUGUCACUGUGUCCCCAAACGAACCGCAUCUGAAUCAAGCCCCUUUCUCUCCCUAGUGGUCAACAUCUGGGCUGUGAUGGGCAGCUCCCACUCUUGCCUUAGAAUAUGACUGGAGAGGUGACUUCUCAUCACAUGGAGAAUAUGUUCACCCCAUGGUGCUUUCCACCCAAGCUGACCAUGGCUUGACUUUUUGGUGUAGUUGCUAGCUCUGUGCCAUCCUUGGCAAUGUGACCCUGGAGCAGCUGUCCCCAGUGUGCAUUUGGGGGAUUUCAUGUAAUUAUGAAUAGGAUGCAAAUUUUAUAGCCCCAGUGAAGGGAAACACCCCUGGCGAGGCUUCCCGGGGCCAGAGAGAGGACUCCACUGAGGGAGAUGGUGGCAGGGCCAUUCUUUGUGUCCUGCUUUUUUUUUUUUUUUUUUUUUUAACAUCCUCUUUAUGUCCUGAGAGCCAUGUGCAGAUGAGGAAAAAUGACAUGCAAUGCAUUUUUGCCUGCCACAAUGACUUUGCAAUCAUAACAAGCAAAAUGUUCUAAACAGUAAGUGAAUCGAGGAAGAUAUACUGCCAAGUCAGGAAGAAAAAAUCCACCUGUUCAGUGAUUUCAGGAACUGCUGAAGAAAAUCACCAGUGAGUAUCAGUUUCUGCAAGAGAAUCUAAUGCAGGCUUUGCUUCUCAUCGGAAUCCCCCAGCUGGUGUCUUGGUUGACUGAGAGUCUGGGGGAGAGGGCAGAGAAUGGAUUUAUUCUCUGCUAGGUUUUUAACAGUCAAGAAGGGCUGUGGUCCUAAGGGGCACUGGUCAAACCUUAGUGUGCAUCAGAAUUAUCUGGAUAAGGCUAGGCACAGUGGCUCACGCCUGUAAUCACAGCACUUUGGGAGGCUGAGGCGCGUGGAUCACCUGAGGUCAGAAGUUCAAGACCAGCCUGGCUCUUUUAGUAGAGAAACCCUAUGUCUAUUAAAAAGUACAAAAUUUAGCCAGGUGUGGUGGUGAGUGCCUGUAAUCCCAGCUACUUGGGAGGCUGAGGCAGGACAGUCACUUGAAUCUAGGAGGCAGAGGUUGCAGUGAACUGAGAUCGUGCCAUUGUGCUCCAGCCUGGGCAACAAGAGUGAAACUCUAUCUC
rnacentral:lncRNA from 1 species